UUAAAUUGAAGAGUUUGAUCAUGGCUCAGAUUGAACGCUGGCGGCAGGCCUAACACAUGCAAGUCGAACGGUAACAGGAAGAAGCUUGCUUCUUUGCUGACGAGUGGCGGACGGGUGAGUAAUGUCUGGGAAACUGCCUGAUGGAGGGGGAUAACUACUGGAAACGGUAGCUAAUACCGCAUAACGUCGCAAGACCAAAGAGGGGGACCUUCGGGCCUCUUGCCAUCGG
rnacentral:rRNA from 1 species